GCUUCUGUUCUUUGUUCCCUGUAUUUAUAUGCAGGCCCAACGGGAGUUGAGACCCAGUCGACGUAGAUAUUGCAGGUGCACGUGUGGAACGUGAGUCUAAGAGUGAUGGAGAUCCAACUUCGAGAUCGCAGCAACAAGGUGCGUUAUGAAUUCCGACUGGUGGCCCGCGAGGUCACCCAUGAGGUCUAUGAUGUCCCGGAGGACAAUCAGGUCCUCUUUGCCUACCAAUUUGAGCGCCAGACCCGAGGUCCUUCACACGUACUGGAGCUGGCACAGCUGUCAGGAGGUGGUCGGAGACACCAGGUGGCAUGUGGUGCCUUGUCCUUUAGCCUGGCUGAUCGAUCCAUGGAUGAAGCAGGUUCCAUGUUUGACAGUAGCUUCUACCACAUGAUCACUUUCCUGUUUGUCAAACCUGAGCACCAGAGGACAGGAGUAGGCCGACAGCUGAUGCAGGCGGCCCUCAAACAUAUGGCAGCCCACGAGCCUAGUAGGCCAGUCAGAGUGGAGAGUGCGCUUGGAGCAGCCUACUUCUUCGAAAAACUUGGCUUUGUUCGAGUUGGUGAACCGUUUGAGACUGUGUGUUCGGGCUCCAGAUUGUUCAGAUCUAUGGUUAAUAUGGAGCAUGAAGCUCCAAGAUGUGACCCUUGAACAGCGUAUGUUCACAGAUGAAGAGAUUAUGCCAAUAGUGAAAUGUUGCUCAAGACAGCAUGCAGUCACGGAGGAAGAGGUUGUUAGAUGUUGCUCAGGAGAGCAUGCUGUUACGGAGGAAGAGGUUGUUAGAUGUUGCUCAACACAGCAUGCAGUCAUGGAGGAAGAGGUUGUUAGAUGUUGCUCAAGACAGCAUGCAGUCAAGGAGGAAGAGGUUGUUAGAUGUUGCUCAAGACAGCAUGCAGUCAUGGAGGAAGAGGUUGUGCGAUGUUGCUCAGGAGAGCAUGCAGUCACGGAGGAAGAGGUUGUUAGAUGUUGCUCAAGACAGCAUGCAGUCACGGAGGAAGAGGUUGUUAGAUGUUGCUAAAGACAGCAUGCAGCCACAGAGGAAGAGGCUGUGCGGUGUUGCUCAGGACAGCAUGCUGUCAUGGAGGAAGAGGCUGUGCGAUAUUGUGGGAUCACUGAGGGAUAGUAUGACGAUGAUGAGGAAGCUGAGGCAGAUGACGUCAGUGUAAGCAUGGGGGGAACACUGAUAAACUGUUUUGUCCAUAAUAAUGUUACUUCAUCAAGGAUUGGUGGAAUGGUUUUAAUCACAUUGUCUGCUGUGACAAAUAUAUUUUCAAACUGUUACGUACAUGAUGACACUGAUGAAAUGAAUAUUAUCAAAUUGCUUUGAAAUACAGAUUUUCAUAUUGCUGAUGUUCUAUAAACAUGGUGGAAGUUUG
rnacentral:misc_RNA from 1 species